rnacentral:rRNA from 1 species
ACGAACGCUGGCGGCGUGCUUAACACAUGCAAGUCGAACGGAAAGGCCCUGCUUUUGUGGGGUGCUCGAGUGGCGAACGGGUGAGUAACACGUGAGUAACCUGCCCUUGACUUUGGGAUAACUUCAGGAAACUGGGGCUAAUACCGGAUAGGAGCUCCUGCUGCAUGGUGGGGGUUGGAAAGUUUCGGCGGUUGGGGAUGGACUCGCGGCUUAUCAGCUUGUUGGUGGGGUAGUGGCUUACCAAGGCUUUGACGGGUAGCCGGCCUGAGAGGGUGACCGGCCACAAUGGGGCUGGGGUUCCGGCCCAGCCCCUACGGGGGGGAAGAGGGGGGGAAAAUGGACAAUGGGCGGAAGGCGUGAUCAGGAACCGCGGGGGGGGGAAUGACGGCUUUCGGGUGGAAACCGGCUUCCGCUUGUGCCGAGGCGUGGGGGCGGGAAAUGGGAAAGAAGCACCGGCUAACUACGUG